rnacentral:rRNA from 1 species
GACGAACGCUGGCGGCGUGCUUAACACAUGCAAGUCGAACGGAAAGGCCCUGCUUUUGCGGGGUGCUCGAGUGGCGAACGGGUGAGUAACACGUGAGUAACCUGCCCUUGACUUUGGGAUAACUUCAGGAAACUGGGGCUAAUACCGGAUAGGAGCUCCUGCUGCAUGGUGGGGGUUGGAAAGUUUCGGCGGUUGGGGAUGGACUCGCGGCUUAUCAGCUUGUUGGUGGGGUAGUGGCUUACCAAGGCUUUGACGGGUAGCCGGCCUGAGAGGGUGACCGGCCACAUUGGGACUGAGAUACGGCCCAGACUCCUACGGGAGGCAGCAGUGGGGGAUAUUGCACAAUGGGCGGAAGCCUGAUGCAGUAACGCCGCGUGCGGGAUGAAGGCCUUCGGGUUGUAAACCGCUUUCGCCUGUGACGAAGCGUGAGUGACGGUAAUGGGUAAAGAAGCACCGGCUAACUACGUG